UCGAGUCUUAGUUGGAGGCUAAGGGAAGAAAUAUUUUCCAGGAGAAGAAGAUAAUGCUUGUGGCUUUUAUUUGUCUACCAUCCUGCUGUUUUGUAAUACAUGAUUGGAUUCUAUCAUCCUGAUGUUGUGACUGUGAGACAUUCUACUGAAGCGAUCCAAAGGAAUCCAAAAGACCCGAGGGCAUACAGAAACUGAGCUGUGUGUUAUGCAAAGCUGGGGCAAUACUUAUAUGAUUUAAGGAUGCGGAGAAGUGCAUCAAGAUCGAUCCAACAUUCUCAAAGGGGUACAGCAGAAAAAUUGCUGUCCAAUUCUUCAUCAAGGAGUAUGAAAAUUCAAUGGACACAUACCAAUAGGGUCGCAAACAUGAUCCUAAUAUUGAGCUUCUCUCGAUGGUGUUGGAAGAUGUGUACAAUAGAUCAACAAGCACACUGUGGUGACCUUACUCCCAAGGAGUUUAAAGAACUACUGACAAGCGGAAUGCAAGACCCGACAAUCCAAAACAUUCUCACAGAUCACGUGUUGAGAAGGUACUGGCUGAUCUGUGAUUGUGACUUACCAGAAGUCUCUUACAGAGGACCAUAACCCAUAUACGUUGAAGAGGCUGAAUGAGGCUGUGAGAUUUAAGAAAGAGUUAGAGCAGAAAGAGUAUUCUGAUCUCAGUGUUAGCGAUGCGGAACGUUAAAAUUGGUAUGAGCUCUUCAAGGAGAAGAAGUAUCAUGAUGCUGUGAGACAUUACCAUGAAGUGAUCAAAAUGAACCCAAAAGACUUGAGAAGGCAUACGACAAUCGAGCUGCGUGUUACACAAAACUAACAAGUUCUUCCAAGGGAGGCAUAUCGGGAACAAAAGAGAUGUGAAGGUAGCAAUCAAGACAAUACUCGAUGUUGAUCCAAUAGAAGUCAAGGGAGAUAGAAGCAAGACUGUGUUAUUUAAUGCGGGAAGGGUAGCUAAAGGCCUUAAGCAUCUUGAUGAAAAGUAUUGCAAAAAAACAUGGGAGAUAUUGAGCAGUGUGGUUGUUAUGCAGCGUGCCAUUAUGAUAUUACACGAACGUGGAGCAACUCAUAGAGGAGGUGAGCCAUUAACUUCGUUUAGUUUUAAAUUAGUCACGUGACGCAACUCACUUUGGAUUAACAAAUCAGUUCCAGAGCAUCAAAGGAGAUGAUAGAGUUUAACUCAUAAUACGCAAGUGAAAAUAAAACACAAUUCCUGAUUCAUUUCACAUUGUAGUUAGAGUGUUAGGUCUAAGUUUUGAAAACACUAUUUGAACUAUGAAUUCUGACAAAAUUAUAACAUUAUGUAACAUAAAAUAAGUGAAACAUUCAGAUUCAUGAUGUAAACCACCGA